CCAGACGGCCGGACGGUCGCCCUGCUUCGCCAAGGCUUCGCAGGGCUUGCCCUUAGAAGCGGAACGCGAAGGAGGGAGGAAAGUCCGGGCUCCACGGUGAGAAGGCGGCGGGUAACGCCCGCCCGGGGUGACCCGAGGGAUAGCGCCACAGAAAGCAAACUGCUCUCCGAAGCCUCGGCGAAGGAGAGUGAGGGUGAAAGGGUGGGGUAAGAGCCCACCGCGUCGCUGGUGACAGGGACGGCAUGGCAAGCCCCGCCUGGAGCAAGACCGAAUAGGGGCGUCGCGCGGACUUCGGUCCGCAGGGUUCACCGCCCGAGACGUCCGGGUAGGUCGCGAGAACCGUCCAGCAAUGGCCGGUCCAGAGGAAUGAUCGUCGCCCGUUUCGGCGGGAACAGAACCCGGCUUACAGGCCGUCUGGCGCC
rnacentral:RNase_P_RNA from 2 species